rnacentral:rRNA from 1 species
GAUCAUGGCUCAGGACGAACGCUGGCGGCGUGCCUAACACAUGCUAGUCGAACGGACGAAGGGAGCUUGCUCCCCGAGUUAGUGGCGAACGGGUGAGUAACGCGUGAGCAACCUGCCUUUCAGAGGGGGACAACGGUUGGAAACGACCGCUAAUACCGCAUGAAACAGUCGGACCGCAUGAUCUGACUGUCAAAGAUUUGUCGCUGAAAGAUGGGGCUCGCGUCUGAUUAGAUAGUUGGUGGGGUAACGGCCUACCAAGUCGACGAUCAGUAGCCGGACUGAGAGGUUGAACGGCCACAUUGGGACUGAGAUACGGCCCAGACUCCUACGGGAGGCAGCAGUGGGGAAUAUUGGGCAAAUGGGGGAAACCCUGACCCAGCAACGCCGCGUGAAGGAAGAAGGCUUUCGGGUUGUAAACUUCUUUUACCGAGGACGAAGAACGUGACGGUACUCGGAGAAAAAGCCACGGCUAACUACGUGCCAGCAGCUGC